UCAGGAUGAACGCUGGCGGCGUGCCUAACACAUGCAAGUCGAACGAAGCAUACGGACUGGAGAUUCGUCGAAGGACUGUAUGACUUAGUGGCGGACGGGUGAGUAAUGUAUGAGCAACCUGCCUUUCAGAGGGGGACAACAGUUGGAAACGACUGCUAAUACCGCGUAACGUAUCGUGGGGGCAUCCUCGUGAUACCAAAGGAGCAAUCCGCUGAAAGAUGGGCUCAUAUCUGAUUAGCCUGUUGGCGGGGUAACGGCCACCAAGGCGACGAUCAGUAGCCGGACUGAGAGGUUGAACGGCCACAUUGGGACUGAGAUACGGCCCAGACUCCUACGGGAGGCAGCAGUGGGGAAUAUUGGGCAAUGGGCGAAAGCCUCGACCCAGCAACGCCGCGUGAAGGAAGAAGGUCUUCGGAUUGUAAACUUCUUUUAUGAGGGACGAAGGACGUGACGGUACCUCAUGAAUAAGCCACGGCUAACUACGUGCCAGCAGCCGC
rnacentral:rRNA from 1 species